UUGUUUUAUAGAAUUGUAAAC
rnacentral:piRNA from 1 species